UACGAAGGUGGCAAGCGUUGUUCGGAUUCACUGGGCGUACAGGGUGUGUAGGCGGUUUGGUAAGCCUUCUGUUAAAGCUUCGGGCCCAACCCGGAAAGCGCAGAGGGUACUGCCAGGCUAGAGGACGGGAGAGGAGCGCGGAAUUCCCGGUGUAGCGGUGAAAUGCGUAGAUAUCUGGAGGAACACCGGUGGCGAAGGCGGCAUCCUGGACCGACACUGACGCUGAGGCGCGAAAGCUAGGGGAGCAAACGGG
rnacentral:rRNA from 1 species